rnacentral:rRNA from 1 species
UACGAAGGGUGCAAACGUUGCUCGGAAUUAUUGGGCGUAAAGCGCACGUAGGCGGCAUUGCAAGUCGGAUGUGAAAUCCCUCGGCUUAACCAAGGAAGUGCAUCCGAAACUGCAGUGCUUGAGUACUUAAGAGGAUCGCGGAAUUCCCGGUGUGAGAGGUGAAAUUCGUAGAUAUCGGGAGGAACACCAGUGGCGAAGGCG